rnacentral:rRNA from 1 species
CCGUAGCGAACAGCUCAGUAACACGUGGCCAAGCUACCCUAUGGACGUGGACACCCUCGGGAAACUGAGGCUAAUCCGCGAUACGGCUCCCACGCUUGAAUGCGGGGAGCCGGAAACGCUCCGGCGCCAUAGGAUGCGGCUGCGGCCGAUUAGGUAGACGGUGGGGUAACGGCCCACCGUGCCGAUAAUCGGUACGGGAUGUGAGAGCAAAUAGCCCGGAGAUGGAAUCUGAGACAAGAUUCCAGGCCCUACGGGGCGCAGCAGGCGCGAAACCUUUACACUGCACGCCAGUGCGAUAAGGGGACCCCGAGUGCGAGGGCAUACAGUCCUCGCUUUUGUACACCGUAAGGAGGUGUACGAAUAAGGGCUGGGCAAGACCGGUGCCAGCCGCCGCGGUAAUACCGGCAGCCCGAGUGAUGGCCGCUGUUAUUGGGCCUAAAGCGUCCGUAGCCGGCCGAACAAGUCUGUCGGGAAAUCCAUCCGCCUAACGGAUGGGCGUCCGGCAGAAACUGUUCGGCUUGGGGCCGGAAGAUCCGAGGGGUACGUCCGGGGUAGGAGUGAAAUCCUGUAAUCCUGGACGGACCGCCGGUGGC